rnacentral:siRNA from 1 species
CAUUCAAGGCAUUUGGAAGGUU